rnacentral:misc_RNA from 1 species
UUUCCGUAGGUGAACCUGCGGAAGGAUCAUUAAAAAAUUGGACUCUACGAGAGUCUAUUAAUAAUCCUCACCCUUUGUGAAUUUGUUUGUUUGAAAUAAUUUUUUUAAAAAAUUAUUGAAUGUCUUUCCCUAGUUUGUUUUGGCUUUGCUUGAAACAUCUAGGGGAAUGGCAAACAAUAAUAUUUUAAAGACUUUUUUUUAAAAUUAAACUUUUUGUAUUCAUUUGUCUAAAAUUAUUUUUAUAAUAUAAAAACAACUUUCGACAAUGGAUCUCUUGGUUCUCGCAACGAUGAAGAACGCAGCAAAAUGCGAUAAGUAGUGUGAAUUGCAGAAUACGUGAAUCAUCGAAUCUUCGAACGCAUAUUGCACUUUUUUAGUUUACUAAAAAAGUAUGUCUGUUUGAGUAUCAGUAAAAUAUUCUCAUAAAAAAUAUUAUUUUUUAUGGUUAUGAGUGUUUUACAACGAUACAAGUUGUUUCACUUUAAAUUCUUUGUUAUCAAAAAAAAUCAUUAAACUAAUUUUAAAGAUUUUUUUAAAAUUGGAUAAAAUUUUCCCGUAAAAAGGAAUAACCUAAACAAUUUUAAAAAUAUUAAAAUUAGCGAUUCUUUUUGAAAAAAAAGGAAAAGUCAAAUUAACUUGAUCUCAAAUCAGAUAAGAGUACCCGCUGAACUUAAGCAUAUCAAUAAGCGGAGGAAAAGAAACUAACAAGGAUUCCCUUAGUAACGGCGAGUGAAGCGGGAAGAGCUCAAAUUUGAAAUCUUCAAGGUUUUACCUUGACGAAUUGUAGUUUAAAGAAGUGUUUUCUGUUGGAGUUUUGGUAAAAGUUCUUUGGAAUAGGACAUCAUAGAGGGUGAGAUCCCGUAUUUGACCAUUACUUUCCAGCUGUGUGAUACACUUUCAAAGAGUCGGAUUGUUUGGGAAUGCAGUCCAAAAUGGGCGGUAAAUUUCAUCUAAAGCUAAAUAUUGGCGAGAGACCGAUAGCGAACAAGUACCGUGAGGGAAAGAUGAAAAGAACUUUGAAAAGAGAGUUAAACAGUACGUGAAAUUGUCAAAAGGGAAGCGUUUGACACCAGUGUUGUUUUCUCGAAAAUCAAUAAAAAUGAUGGAUUUUGUGUUGUAUUGACUUUAUCAGCUUUCUGCACUUUUUUCAUGUCUUUUUUAAUGCACUUUUCGUUUAACAAGUCAACGUCAAUUUCUUUUGUUGUAAAAGAGUCAUUGGAAGGUGGCUUUUUCUUCGGAGAAAAGUGUUUAUAGCCUUUACCUACUGCAAUCGGAGAGAUUGAGGUCUGCAGCGUAGAUCCUUCGGGGUUAGAUACAUUUGUGCUAAGCUAUAGUCUUUAUAGACAACUUGUUGACUAUAAUGAAUCUGUAACUUACUCGCUUAUGCUAUUUUACCUACGCUUAGGAUGUUG